GCCUACGGGGGGCAGCAGUGGGGAAUAUUGCACAAUGGGGGGAACCCUGAUGCAGCGACGCCGCGUGAGUGAAGAAGUAUUUCGGUAUGUAAAGCUCUAUCAGCAGGGAAGAAGAUGACGGUACCUGACUAAGAAGCCCCGGCUAACUACGUGCCAGCAGCCGCGGCAAUACGUAGGGGGCAAGCGUUAUCCGGAUUUACUGGGUGUAAAGGGAGCGUAGACGGCAGGGCAAGUCUGGAGUGAAAGCCCGGGGCCCAACCCCG
rnacentral:rRNA from 1 species